AGGAAUCCUGAAGAGAUUGGGAGUGCUCGAAAGAGAACCUGCACACAGGUGCUGCAUGGCUGUCGUCAGCUCGUGUCGUGAGAUGUUGGGUUAAGUCCCGCAACGAGCGCAACCCUUGCCAUUAGUUGCUACGAAAGGGCACUCUAAUGGGACUGCCGGUGACAAACCGGAGGAAGGUGGGGAUGACGUCAAGUCCUCAUGGCCCUUAUAGGUGGGGCUACACACGUCAUACAAUGGCCGGUACAGAGGGUAGCCAACCCGCGAGGGGGAGCCAAUCCCACAAAGCCGGUCGUAGUCCGGAUCGCAGUCUGCAACUCGACUGCGUGAAGUCGGAAUCGCUAGUAAUCGCGGAUCAGUAUGUCGCGGUGAAUACGUUCCCGGGUCUU
rnacentral:rRNA from 1 species